AUUGACCGCUGGCGGCGUGCCUAAUACAUGCAAGUAGAACGCAGUUGCGAACGGGUGAGUAACGCGUAGGUAACUGCCUCAUAGCGGGGGAUAACUAUUGGAAACGAUAGCUAAUACCGCAUACUGUGAGAUGGACCUGCGUUGUAUUAGCUAGUUGGGGAGGGAAAGGCUCACCAAGGCGACGAUACAGAGCCGACCUGCGAGGGUGAACCGCCCCACUGGGACGGAAUCACUGCCCAGACUCCUAAGGGAGGCAGCAGUAGGGAAUCUUCGGCAAUGGACGGAAGUCUGACCGCGCAACGGCGCGUGAGUGAAGAAGGUUUUCGGAUCUUAAAGCUCUGUUGUGAGAGAAGCGGUACCUAACCAGAAAGGGACGGCUAACUACGUGCCAGCAGCCGCGGUAAUAC
rnacentral:rRNA from 1 species